rnacentral:rRNA from 1 species
AUUGAACGCUGGCGGCAUGCCUUACACAUGCAAGUCGAACGGCAGCGGACCUUCGGGUGCCGGCGAGUGGCGAACGGGUGAGUAAUAUAUCGGAACGUACCUUUCAGUGGGGGAGUAACGUAGCGAAAGUUACGCUAAUACCGCAUAUUCUGUGAGCAGGAAAGCAGGGGAUCGCAAGACCUUGCGCUGAUUGAGCGGCCGAUAUCAGAUUAGCUAGUUGGUGAGGUAAAGGCUCACCAAGGCGACGAUCUGUAGCGGGUCUGAGAGGAUGAUCCGCCACACUGGAACUGAGACACGGUCCAGACUCCUACGGGAGGCAGCAGU